rnacentral:tRNA from 1 species
GGGGCAUUAGCUCAGCUGGGAGAGUGCUUGCAUGGCAUGCAAGAGGUCACGGGUUCGAGCCCCGUAUGCUCCA